UCUUUCCUUCUUUCUGAACGAACUAAUUUAAUUUCCUCAGUUUGAGCUCUGAGGAGGUGAAGAAACUUGGCACGAAACGUGUCACGAACUCAACAUAUCUAUCGUUUGAUGACCUGAUGACCUCCCACAUCCAAACAAUGGCCUGUAAGACUCGCUGGAGACUAGUCAGGCACUGUUUCCUACUGAAGCCCACUGUAGUUAUGUCUCACCUUUGGCUGAAACUAUAUCCUGGUCUCUUUGGUCACAUUACUUUGCCUCUAGACUCCAGACUCCUGGUAUUGAGAUUGAUUGGAUGACCAUAAAGUGCACCAUUUUUAGAUGACAGAGUUUAGAGUUCAAAAGUUUGAGAAUGAUGAGACGACAGUCCUACAGAAGAUACUACAGGACACUAUUGACACUGAGGAGCUAUAAUGGUGGAGAAGAGGAAGAUAGCUAGCCAGAAUGAAGUGAUAAAUGAGAAUGAGGCUGUCACUAAACCAAAAAGUCAAUAGCUCAGAGGUUGUGGACCUACUGGACUUCACUUCAGACGAACGUAAACUCAUACAUGGACAGUGACAUUAAUAAAAGAUUGAAAUACACAUUUGUUCCCAGUGGAUUAAAACAAACAUUAUGAAAGAGCUAACUAUAUGUACAAGUACAAGUAUAUGUAUGCAGCUUGACCUCUCAUAUCACCAGAUCCUAACAUCAAUGAUCGGAAUACCAAUGAUGAUCAUUCUAAUGUCAAAUUACAAUUGAAAGUCCUAAUGUCCCUGGGUCAGAUUACACACUUAUAUCAAGACAACUACAUGUGCUACAUACAUUGACGAAAAUCAAAAGGAAAAUGCCAACAUUAUGCAUCUCAGAGUCCAGUUCCUUACUUUAUUGAUGACUUCUGGUGGAACAGAAUGUAGAAACAGUUGUAAUACUGACAAACUUUGAAGAGAAAGGAAAAGCAAUGUGUGGCCUGAUUCUGGUACAUGCACUGAGAUGUACAGAUUCUUUGAGACAACGCUUCACUCAAUGAAGGAAUACCCAGACUACACUGUACAUACAUGUACUUGGAAAAUUCAAGAUAGUUGACAGCAGAGUGAGAGGAUGCUGAGGGUAGUAGUCAACAUGUUAAACAGUUCCAAUGUGUACCUGAUUCAGCCAUUGGUCUAUUGGACGUGAGAGAAGAAGUAGAGAAAUGUCAGAGGAACUCUGAUGACAAACCAACAUUCACUGAAGAUUGUGAGUAUAGCACUGUAUUUAGCAAAGACCAGUUUUACAUGUACACUAUAUUAGAGGAUCAGAUUUAUGUACAGGUACAUGUGCUUGCAUUUGUUCACCAUUUUGUCUGUCAUAAUUUCUCUUCUCUCU
rnacentral:lncRNA from 1 species